rnacentral:rRNA from 1 species
GUGGGGAAUAUUGGACAAUGGGCGCAAGCCUGAUCCAGCCAUGCCGCGUGAGUGAUGAAGGCCUUAGGGUUGUAAAGCUCUUUUGUCCGGGAAGAUAAUGACUGUACCGGAAGAAUAAGCCCCGGCUAACUUCGUGCCAGCAGCCGCGGUAAUACGAAGGGGGCUAGCGUUGUUCGGAAUCACUGGGCGUAAAGCGCACGUAGGCGGACCAUUAAGUCAGGGGUGAAAGCCUGGAGCUCAACUCCAGAACUGCCUUUGAUACUGAUGGUCUCGAGUUCGGAAGAGGUUGGUGGAACUGCGAGUGUAGAGGUGAAAUUCGUAGAUAUUCGGAAGAACACCAGUGGCGAAGGCGACUCACUGGCCCGUUACUGACGCUGAGGCGCGAAAGCGUGGGGAGCAAACAGGAUUAGAUACCCUGGUAGUCC